CCUCCCCACCCGCGACCUAGCGAGGCGACCAGCCGCUGCGUGCCAGCGUCCGUUGACCCUGCUGCUCUGCCGCAUCUCCUCCCCCAUUUGUCGCCCUCCAUUGCUGCCCAAGGUGCUGAGAGUGAUUUACAUGAGGAUUUGAGUGGGAGGGAUUGGAUCCACAAAGGGAUAUGAUGGAUCUGAAAAGGUAAAAGGGAGGGAUCAGCAACCACUGGACAGAAGUGGGGAGGGGGUGCUCAGAGCGAGGCGAACGAACAAAGGGGUAAAAGAUCAAAGUGGGGCGAAAGGGGGGUGUAAAAUCAAUUCUCCCAUGAUUUCCCCCAGUACUGUCCAUAUAUUUUAGAAUAUUAGAUAGAGAUUUGUUUACCAAUACAGUCUACGUUCCUCUCUUCAUGUAUCUCUGGCUUCUAUGAGUCUAUGGUCUGGUGGUAGUUAUUCCAUUAGAUGCAUCUAUGCUGAACAUACAGGGUGAAAUCACUGUUGUUAGUGAUAUUCUUUUUGCAAGGAGCACUUGCCUUGAUUAGAUGAAUUUCAUUUCUCUUGUCUCAGUUUUGCUCGACUAAUAAUAAUUUGAGGGCGAUUUCAGUGCGUGGAUUACUAACCAGGGAAUGGGGCUGCUAAGCUAGCACGUCCCAGUUAGCCAUUGUCUGGAUCUACUGUAGGAUUAUUUGAAAAUGAGUGACCAAUACUGAUCACUCUUUUUGAUCUUGUUUCCAGAGCGCUAUCAAAGGUUGGAUGGUUUUGACUCUCUAAAGCAGAUUCGGAUCGCAAGAGCGUGCCCAUAAUUGUUAGACUUGCUACUGAUUGAUAGAAAGGUUUUUUGAGGAUGUUAUUGGCAAGAAAUAGUUCUCUGUGUACGAGUGAUCUUAUUGUUGCUUGCAUGCCUGAAAAAUGACCACAUCCCACUUAUAGGUUAGUAUUAUUCAGUAUCCUCGCAUACAUAAUCUGACACCUUGUUAAAGAACCAAAGGUUUGGCUAGUCACAUUGCCUCACUUGAUUUCACCCUUUGGGUGUUAAAUAGAAAAUCCAAGCUCCAGAGCUAUGCUCCGAAGUUUGUUAGUUAUAAGGGAAUUUGUAUGGAGUUACUCAAAAGUGCAUUGGUCUGUAGCUAAAUGAUUAUCUAAUCUAUUAAUUCAUGGUUAACUGAUUAUAUA